rnacentral:rRNA from 1 species
ACGAACGCUGGCGGCAGGCUUAACACAUGCAAGUCGAGCGCCCCGCAAGGGGAGCGGCAGACGGGUGAGUAACGCGUGGGAAUCUACCCUUGACUACGGAAUAACGCAGGGAAACUUGUGCUAAUACCGUAUGUGUCCUUCGGGAGAAAGAUUUAUCGGUCAAGGAUGAGCCCGCGUUGGAUUAGCUAGUUGGUGGGGUAAAGGCCUACCAAGGCGACGAUCCAUAGCUG